rnacentral:rRNA from 1 species
GACGAACGCUGGCGGCGUGCUUAACACAUGCAAGUCGAACGGAAAGGCCCUGCUUUUGUGGGGUGCUCGAGUGGCGAAAGGGUGAGUAACACGUGAGUAACCUGCCCUUGACUUUGGGAUAACUUCAGGAAACUGGGGCUAAUACCGGAUAGGAGCUCCUGCUGCAUUGUGGGGGUUGGAAAGUUUCGGCGGUUGGGGAUGGACUCGCGGCUUAUCAGCUUGUUGGUGGGGUAGUGGCUUACCAAGGCUUUGACGGGUAGCCGGCCUGAGAGGGUGACCGGCCACAUUGGGACUGAGAUACGGCCCAGACUCCUACGGGAGGCAGCAGUGGGGAAUAUUGCACAAUGGGCGGAAGCCUGAUGCAGCAACGCCGCGUGCGGGAUGACGGCCUUCGGGUUGUAAACCGCUUUCGCCUGUGACGAAGCGUGAGUGACGGUAAUGGGUAAAGAAGCACCGGCUAACUACGUG